UUUCAUUCUUUACAGUUCAAACUCUCUGUUUCAGCUGUUUUGCAGUUUUCUGAAAGGUUGUUCCAGAUUUGAGGAGCAUAAAAUCCGAAUGCUGCCUCUCCAUGUUUGGUAGGAAUUCCAAACUCCAAUCAACUAAGUUUUGUAUUCAACAUUUCAAACUCAGUUUGGUUUCCGGCAGGUAAAGCUGGGAAAUAUGAGAAUGAGAAUUUAUUUGAAAUUCAACGAAAUGAAAACAUUUAUAUCUCAGUGACUUGCAUUUUAACUCCAAAUGGUAACUAGUUUGCUACCAAAUUCAUUUCCCCUCAGCAUGUGCAAAAAGUAAAUAGACAUGCUCAGAGACACACACGCACACGCACACAC